rnacentral:rRNA from 1 species
GACGAACGCUGGCGGCGUGCCUAACACAUGCAAGUCGAACGGAACUCUUUGGAUCAAGGCUUCGGCCAAGUGAAUUUGAGUUUAGUGGCGGACGGGUGAGUAACGCGUGAGCAACCUGCCUUUCAGAGGGGGACAACAGUUGGAAACGACUGCUAAUACCGCAUAACACUUUAGUACCGCAUGGUACAGAAGUCAAAGCUUUAUGUGCUGAGAGAUGGUCUCGCGUCUGAUUAGCUAGUUGGCGGGGUAACGGCCCACCAAGGCGACGAUCAGUAGCCGGUCUGAGAGGAUGAACGGCCACAUUGGGACUGAGACACGGCCCAGACUCCUACGGGAGGCAGCAGUGGGGAAUAUUGCGCAAUGGCGCAAGCCUGAUGCAGCAACGCCGCGUGAACGAAGAAGGUCUUCGGAUUGAAAGUUCUGUCCUUGGGGAAGAACAAAUGACGGUACCCUUGGAGG